rnacentral:rRNA from 1 species
AUUGAACGCUGGCGGCAGGCCUAACACAUGCAAGUCGAACGAGUGGCGGACGGGUGAGUAAUGUCUGGGAAACUGCCCGAUGGGGGGGGAUAACUACUGGAAACAGUAGCUAAUACCGCAUUCCCUCGGAUGUGCCCAUAUGGGAUUAGCUGGUUGGUGGGGUAAAGGCUCACCUAGGCGACGAUCCCUAGCUGGUCUGAGAGGAUGACCAGCCACACGGGAACUGAGACACGUUCCAGACUCCUAAGGGAGGAAGCAGUGGGGAAUAGUGCACAAUGGGCGAAAGCCUGAUGCAGCCAUGCCGCGUGGAUGAAGAAGGCCUUCGGGUUGUAAAGUACUUUCAGCGAGGAGGCGUUACUCGCAGAAGAAGCACCGGCUAACUCCGUGCCAGCCGCCGCGGUAAUUC